AAUAGAUACCCCGGUAGUCCACGCCGUAAACGAUGAGUGCUAAGUGUUAGAGGGUUUCCGCCCUUUAGUGCUGCAGCUAACGCAUUAAGCACUCCGCCUGGGGAGUACGGCCGCAAGGCUGAAACUCAAAGGAAUUGACGGGGGCCCGCACAAGCGGUGGAGCAUGUGGUUUAAUUCGAAGCAACGCGAAGAACCUUACCAGGUCUUGACAUCCUCUGACCUCCCUGGAGACAGGGCCUUCCCCUUCGGGGGGACAGAGUGACAGGUGGUGCAUGGUUGUCGUCAGCUCGUGUCGUGAGAUGUUGGGUUAAGUCCCGCAACGAGCGCAACCCUUGACCUUAGUUGCCAGCAUUCAGUUGGGCACUCUAAGGUGACUGCCGGUGACAAACCGGAGGAAGGUGGGGAUGACGUCAAAUCAUCAUGCCCCUUAUGACCUGGGCUACACACGUGCUACAAUGGAUGGUACAAAGGGGCUGCGAGACCGCGAGGUUAAGCCAAUCCCAGAAAACCCAUUCCCAGUUCGGAUUGCAGGCUGCAACCCG
rnacentral:rRNA from 1 species